rnacentral:ncRNA from 1 species
GGCCGUUUUUAGUUCGUGAAUAUGAUUUGUCUGGUUAAUUCCGAUAACGAACGAGAUCUUAACCUGCUAAUUAGCGGCGAAUACGUUAUAUUCCUACUUGAAAUUGAAUAUAGCUGAAUUUGCUUAUUUUGAAGAAUAUAUUAGGAUGCAUUAUAGUGUCCUUUUCCCUUUUCUACUUAAUUCGCUAUUCAUGUUGUUUCUUUUUUGUGCAGGAAUGUAUUCGUUUGAUUGUAAAGCUUCUUAGAGGAACGAUGUGUGUAUAACACAAGGAAGUUUAAGGCAACAACAGGUCUGUGAUGUCCUUAGAUGAACUAGGCUGCACGCGUGCUACACUGAUAUGUAUAACGAGUUACUAAAAAUAUACUUUUGUUUGAGUAUUUAUACUCUCUCAAAUAGUAUACUUUUCCUCCGCCGAAAGGUGUAGGUAAUCUUUAUCAGUACAUAUCGUGAUGGGGAUAGAUUAUUGCAAUUAUUAAUCUUGAACGAGGAAUGCCUAGUAAGCAUGAUUCAUCAGAUUGUGCUGACUACGUCCCUGCCCUUUGUACACACCGCCCGUCGCUCCUACCGAUUGAAAGAUAUGAUGAAUUGUUUGGACAAGAAAAG